AGCUCCAAUAGCGUAUAUUAAAGUUGUUGCAGUUAAAAAGCUCGUAGUUGAAUUUUGGGCCUGGUCGGGUGGUCUUGCUGCUUUACUGUGGUAAGCACCGCUUGGUCGGGUCUUUCCUUCUGGGGAACUAGUGCUGCCUUUUACUGGGACUGGCCUAGCGAUCCAGGACUUUUACUUUGAAAAAAUUAGAGUGUUCAAAGCAGGCAAUUUUCGCUUGAAUACAUUAGCAUGGAAUAAUAAAAUAGGACUCUUGGUUCUAUUUUGUUGGCUUCUAGGACCAAAGUAAUGAUUAAUAGGGAUAGUUGGGGACGUUAGUAUUUUGUUGUCAGAGGUGAAAUUCUUAGAUUGACAAAAGACUAACUUCUGCGAAAGCAUUCGUCAAGGAUGUUUUCA
rnacentral:rRNA from 1 species